UACGUAGGGGGCAAGCGUUGUCCGGAAUCAUUGGGCGUAAAGCGCGUGUAGGCGGCCCGAUUAGUCCGCUGUGAAAGUCCAGGGCUCAACCCUGGGAUGCCGGUGGAUACUGUCGGGCUCGAGUCCGGAAGAGGCGAGUGGAAUUCCUGGUGUAGCGGUGAAAUGCGCAGAUAUCAGGAGGAACACCGGUGGCGAAGGCGGCGUCCUGGACCAACACUGACACUGAUGAGCGAAAGCCAGGGGAGCAAACGGG
rnacentral:rRNA from 1 species